rnacentral:lncRNA from 1 species
CAUAAAAAUGCGUGUCCUCCCCAGUCUCAGCCUUCCUGUUUUUGCUGCUAUUCUCUCUCAGCCCAGAUUUGUUGAGUGCACUAUCAGGGCCACAGCUGCACUCCCCUCACAGCUGCCCCUUCCCUCCACAGGGCAGUAGCAGCCCCUCAGGUGCUGAGGCAGCAGUUCUCCUCAUGAAAACUCUAUUCAAUUAUGAUAUCCCCUCUGGGGAAGGUUGCUACCAGGAUCUUUCUUAACAAGAUUUGGGCCUGGAGGUUUGUUUCCAGCAGUGCUUGAGCUGGCUGGAAGGGGUUGUGGCUUGCCCCAGCCAGCUCCCUAACAUGGCUGCCGUGGCCCCCUGCUUUACAUCCCUCCUUGCUGCAGAGGCAGGGAAGAAUACCACAGGAAAUGGUUGAAAAAGGACUGCUUUGGGAACCCCGUGAGGAACCAGCAAGGUUGUUGUCCUAUAAAGCUGUUCAAGUUCCUCUCUUCGUGAGAACAUCUUCGUGCUAUCCCUGCUGCAUACAAGCAUUAUGUUAGAUCGAGAAGAAGGCUAUUCAGGAAAACUAUCCCCAAAUACUUCUGAAGCACUAUUCAAGAUUCUUUUGUGUAAAACCUUACCAGAAGAGGAAUGCCUUGUUUGCCCUGCUGCUCCAUCACCCAUCUGAUGACUGCUUAACAGACUUGUGAUUAUACUGUUAAUAUAACAAUUUCUGUGUAAAAAGUUGCCUGGCUUGUGUCUGAGGAAAUCCAUGAGCGCUGGAUAGGUACGCUUGCUUGCGUGUGGACUCUUUGCUGAUUUAUUAUAGAGGCAUCACCCAACUUCCCUAUUAUGACACGAAAGCUGGGAAGAAUGAUUUAGCACUACAUCUCUUCCAGUGUUAAAAUGCAGAGUUUCUAGAAUCGUGAGCCUGCGCCCCAGGAGGGUGACUCAGACCUUUUGCUGAGCAUUAGGGAAAUCUUUGUGUCAGGCUCCUGAAAGUAACCAUACCAGAAGUUGUGUGUCCUUACCAAGUUAAGUGUCCUCUGAAUUUCUCUGUGAGAGAAGCAGUGCUUUCUUCCUCUGUGUCCUUUUCCCAGUAAUGGACAGUAUCUACAAAUGUAAAAUGCCACGCUGCGUGUUGGUCCCACAAGAAUUCUUAGGUAAUGCCACAACCUCCAAGGUAACAUCUGCCCUUGUGUCGUGCAGGUACUGAGAAGGGGAGAAAUUGGUCUGAUCUGCCAAAAAGGGAGGGAAACAAAAGUAUGUAAGAACAGUCACAAAAUGUUUUUAUGAAUUGCAGUCUAUGGAGCUGCAGUUAGAUCACACGCCAAUAGUUCCAGAGUUAUUUUUCAUCCUCAAGCUUUCAUGUGUCCUAUGCACAUACAAAACUCUGAAUUCCCUCCCCAAGGAGCCAAGAAAAUGUUUUCCUUAAAUCUGUGACAGCAAUAGUACUGUUUUGCAUGUGUUUAAUAAGAGCAGAAUUACAGUAAUGUUCCUGUUCCAUGUGAGCAAAUAUAGUAAGUAUUUCCACAAUGGCUACAACUGGGAUUUUGUAAUGCUCACUGCUUUAACCAGUUUAAAUAAAGCAAGGCGAGCCCCUAUCUGAUUUGCUAAA